AGUCUCCAUACCUGCCAUCAGCUCACCGUGUCAGUGGGCUUAUGAUGGCCAAUCAUACCAGCAUCUCCUCAUUGUUUGAAAGAACCAGCAGACAGUAUGAUAAACU